GUUCAAGUGGUUGUUUGUAACUUUCGUGUAACUUUGGUUAGGUUACGAUAGAGGAGAAACAGUGCUUCUCCUCUACCUCACUAGUCGCGCGAGUCUUACGAGAAGACCACCACUAGUUCUGCGCUGCAGAGAGCAACACUAAGUCACCCCUCUUGUUGAUCGGACUUUAGCAUCCUCACAACCGGUAAUGAUCCUUCCGCAGGUUCACCUACGGAAA
rnacentral:misc_RNA from 1 species